UCGUUUCUACUCUACCUGCUAAGGGGCAUCAAACGGAGUUCAAUGUAACUCAUUGGCCCUUGGGAAAGUCCCCGGACCACACAGCAGAGAGUGCUACCUAUUAAAAUAGGCGAUCCCUUCGCAAGCCGGCUAUUGGUGGUGCCGUGUGGCGAUGGGACCUGGUCGCAGCACAGGAAUGCGGGUAGCUACAGCGCUCGGCGCUACAGGGCAUACUCAAUGGGGCUCAUACAGUGGAGAUG
rnacentral:RNase_MRP_RNA from 1 species